ensembl:ncRNA T07D3.10 ncRNA
CCUAGAGCCUAGAUCCUAGAGCCUAGAUCCCAGAGCCUAGAUCCUAGAUUCUAGAUUCUGGAUCCUAGAUCCUAGAUCCUACACCCUAGAUCCUAGAUCCCAGAUCCUAGACCCUAGACCCUAGAUCCUAGAUCCUAGAUCCUAGAUCCUAGAUCCUAGAUCCUAGACCCUAGAUCGUAGAUCCUAUACUCUAGAUCCUAA